rnacentral:rRNA from 1 species
AACGAACGCUGGCGGAGUGCUUAAGACAUGCAAGUCGUACGAGAAAGCCGACUUCGGUUGGUGAGUACAGUGGCGCACGGGUGAGUAACGCGUGGACAAUCUGCCCUUUGGUCUGGGAUAACCCCGGGAAACUGGAGCUAAUACCGGAUAAGCCCACACUGUCUUCGGGCAGAGUGGGAAAAGAUGGCCUCUCCUUGGAAGCUAUCACCAAUUGAUGAGUCCGCGUACCAUUAGCUUGUCGGUGAGGUAACGGCUCACCAAGGCUACGAUGGUUAGCUGGUCUGAGAGGAUGAUCAGCCACACUGGAACUGAGACACGGUCCAG